rnacentral:rRNA from 1 species
GAUGAACGCUGGCGGCGUGCCUAAUACAUGCAAGUCGAGCGAACGGACGAGAAGCUUGCUUCUCUGAUGUUAGCGGCGGACGGGUGAGUAACACGUGGAUAACCUACCUAUAAGACUGGGAUAACUUCGGGAAACCGGAGCUAAUACCGGAUAAUAUUUUGAACCGCAUGGUUCAAAAGUGAAAGACGGUCUUGCUGUCACUUAUAGAUGGAUCCGCGCUGCAUUAGCUAGUUGGUAAGGUAACGGCUUACCAAGGCAACGAUGCAUAGCCGACCUGAGAGGGUGAUCGGCCACACUGGAACUGGGACACGGUCCAGACUCCUACGGGAGGCAGCAGUAGGGAAUCUUCCGCAAUGGGCGAAAGCCUGACGGAGCAACGCCGAGUGAGUGAUGAAGGUCUUCGGAUCGUAAAACUCUGUUAUUAGGGAAAAACAUAUGUGUAAGUAACUGUGCACAUCUUGACGGUACCUAAUCAGAAAGCCACGGCUAACUACGUG